rnacentral:rRNA from 1 species
GACGAACGCUGGCGGCGUGCCUAAUACAUGCAAGUAGGACGCACAGUUUAUACCGUAGCUUGCUACACCAUAGACUGUGAGUUGUGAACGGGUGAGUAACGCGUAGGUAACCUGCCUAUUAGAGGGGGAUAACUAUUGGAAACGAUAGCUAAUACCGCAUAACAGUAUGUAACACAUGUUAGAUGCUUGAAAGAUGCAAUUGCAUCGCUAGUAGAUGGACCUGCGUUGUAUUAGCUAGUAGGUAGGGUAAUGGCCUACCUAGGCGACGAUACAUAGCCGACCUGAGAGGGUGAUCGGCCACACUGGGACUGAGACACGGCCCAGACUCCUACGGGAGG